UAGGGAAUCUUCCGCAAUGGGCGAAAGCCUGACGGAGCAACGCCGCGUGAGUGAUGAAGGUCUUCGGAUCGUAAAACUCUGUUAUUAGGGAAGAAUAAAUGUGUAAGUAACUAUGCACGUCUUGACGGUACCUAAUCAGAAAGCCACGGCUAACUACGUGCCAGCAGCCGCGGUAAUACGUAGGUGGCAAGCGUUAUCCGGAAUUAUUGGGCGUAAAGCGCGCGUAGGCGGUUUUUUAAGUCUGAUGUGAAAGCCCACGGCUCAACCGUGGAGGGUCAUUGGAAACUGGAGAACUUGAGUGCAGAAGAGGAAAGUGGAAUUCCAUGUGUAGCGGUGAAAUGCGCAGAGAUAUGGAGGAACACCAGUGGCGAAGGCGACUUUCUGGUCUGUAACUGACGCUGAUGUGCGAAAGCGUGGGGAUCAAACAGG
rnacentral:rRNA from 1 species